UACGGAGGGAGCUAGCGUUGUUCGGAAUUACUGGGCGUAAAGCGCACGUAGGCGGCUAUUCAAGUCAGAGGUGAAAGCCCAGGGCUCAACCUUGGAACUGCCUUUGAAACUAGAUAGCUAGAAUCCUGGAGAGGCGAGUGGAAUUCCGAGUGUAGAGGUGAAAUUCGUAGAUAUUCGGAAGAACACCAGUGGCGAAGGCGACUCGCUGGACAGGUAUUGACGCUGAGGUGCGAAAGCGUGGGGAGCAAAAGGG
rnacentral:rRNA from 1 species